UACGUAGGGGGCAAGCGUUGUCCGGAAUCAUUGGGCGUAAAGCGCGUGUAGGCGGCCAGAAAAGUCCGCUGUGAAAACUCGAGGCUCAACUUCGAGCUGUCGGUGGAAACUUUCUGGCUAGAGUCCGGAAGAGGAGAAUGGAAUUCCUGGUGUAGCGGUGAAAUGCGCAGAUAUCAGGAGGAACACCGGUGGCGAAGGCGGAUCUCUGGGCCUUACCUGACGCUGAGGCGCGAAAGCUAGGGGAGCGAACAGG
rnacentral:rRNA from 1 species